rnacentral:rRNA from 1 species
AUGACUUUUGCGUGGAGACUGCUUAGGAGGGCUCUUCAUACAGGGUUGAGGGCCAGUAGAUUUUCCAUUCACAUUUCAAAAAAUUGUUGCCGAUGUGGUCAACAAGAGGAUGAGGUCCAUCGGUUUUUCAUGUGCUCUUUUUCUCGUGCGGCUUGGUUUUCCUCUCCUUGGUUUGUUCGUUCGGAUGCUUUAGUCCAGGGGCAUUCCACCUUGCAUUCUGUUCUUCUUGAUUUUCUUUGCAUGAGGCAUCCAUAUGGUUCUCUUUCUAACAUUUUUACAUUUCUUUGGUGUCUCUGGAAAGCAAGGAAUGAUUUUCUCUUUGAUAGGGCGAAAUCUCUUCCUCAUCAAGUUCACAUUGCUGCUCUUGCGUUAACCUCUAAUGUGUAUGACAAUGCCCUUCUCUUGAAUCAGGCUCCAACUCCAACUCAGUUCUCUUCUAAUCAAAUUCCUUUGCCUGGCAGAACCCUUAGGUCUGAUUUGUUGGUUGAUGGGGCUAAAAUCUAUUCGGAUGCAGCUUUUAGGACCAAGAAAAUUCCAGGUUUGUUGCAAGGACAGGUUGGCACAGGUGUGGGGGUCUUUAUUUCCUUACCCUCUAAUCGAGGAGAGAUCAAUGUGCAAGUGCAAGCUUCAGCUCCUUACCCUCUAAUCGAGGAGAGAUCAAUGUGCAAGUGCAAGCUUCAGCUCCUCCAACUUCUACUCCUCUGCAAGCGGAGGCUCUUGCACUAA